rnacentral:rRNA from 1 species
UGGGGAAUUUUGGACAAUGGGGGCAACCCUGAUCCAGCAAUGCCGCGUGUGUGAAGAAGGCCUUCGGGUUGUAAAGCACUUUUGUCCGGAAAGAAAUCGCCCUGGCUAAUAUCCGGGGUGGAUGACGGUACUGGAAGAAUAAGCACCGGCUAACUACGUGCCAGCAGCCGCGGUAAUACGUAGGGUGCGAGCGUUAAUCGGAAUUACUGGGCGUAAAGCGUGCGCAGGCGGUUGUGCAAGACAGAUGUGAAAAUCCCCCGGGGNUUAAACCUGGGAAUGGCAUUUGUGACUGCACGGCUAGAGUGUGUCAGAGGGGGGUAGAAUUCCACGCGUAGCAGUGAAAUGCGUAGAUAUGUGGAGGAACACCGAUGGCGAAGGCAGCCCCCUGGGAUAACACUGACGCUCAUGC